AACCCGCAUGAUGCACUGUGUGAUGCUCUGUCUAUUCACAGCUAGAGGUCACUGUGUGAGCUAGAGGUCACUGUGUGAGCUAGAGGUCACUGUAUGAACUGGAGGUCACAGUAUGAGCUGGAGGUCACAGUAUGAGCUGGAGGUCACUGUAUGAGCUGGAUGUCACUGUAUGAGCUGGAGGUCACUGUAUGAGCUGGAGGUCACUGUAUGAGCUGGAGGUCACUGUAUGAGCUGGAGGUCACAGUAUGAACUGGAGGUCACAGUAUGAGCUGGAGGUCACUGGAGGUCACAGUAUGAGCUGGAGGUCACUGUAUGAGCUGGAGGUCACAGUAUGAGCUGGAGGUCACAGUAUGAGCUGGAGGUCACAGUAUGAGCUGGAGGUCACUGGAGGUCACUGUAUGAACUGGAGGUCACUGUAUGAACUGGAGGUCACUGUAUGAGCUGGAGGUCACUGGAGGUCACUGUAUGAACUGGAGGUCACAGUAUGAACUGGAGGUCACUGGACGGCAGUUUGGUUCCAUGAAUAAAUAAUCGAUUUGUAGGUUUUAGAUUAUUGCGUAUAAAGCAUAUGAAAUGCUUAAACCCUUAAACUUGACUGACCAGCUAGUAGUAGUAAUGAUGAUAAUAAUAAUCAUGACAUGAUUGACUAAUUUGUGCUAAAGUUUGAAAAGUGCUAUAUAAAUAAAACUCUUAUUAGUUUGGAUUUUGAGGGAAUUGUACACCAAAAAAAAGGAUU